GACGAACGCUGGCGGCGUGCUUAACACAUGCAAGUCGAACGGAGCGAAUGAAAGCUUGCUUUUAUAAGCUUAGUGGCAAACGGGUGAGUAACACGUAGACAACCUGCCGACAGGAUGGGGACAACAUUCCGAAAGGAAUGCUAAUACCGAAUGAAGCGGAGGAGAGGCAUCUCUCCUGCGUGAAAGAUGGCCUCUUUUUAUGCUAUCACCUGUUGAUGGGUCUGCGUCUGAUUAGCUGGUAGGUGAGGUAACGGCUCACCUAGGCGACGAUCAGUAGCCGGUCUGAGAGGAUGAACGGCCACAUUGGGACUGAGACACGGCCCAGACUCCUACGGGAGGCAGCAGUGGGGAAUCUUCCGCAAUGGGCGCAAGCCUGACGGAGCAACGCCGCGUGAGUGAAGAAGGUCUUCGGAUCGUAAAGCUCUGUUGAUGGGGACGAACGUGCCGAAUGCGAAUAGUUUUAGGUAAUGACG
rnacentral:rRNA from 1 species